rnacentral:lncRNA from 1 species
AUAAUCACCGUUAAAAAAUAAAAUGAAAUACACAUAUAAAUGCAUAUAGUUUCUAUGAACAUUUUCAGUGACAAUGUUUAAAAUCAGUCAUAAAUCAUUAGGCAUGAAGCGAACUUCUCUGCUUGUAUAUCCGUGCUUUUAUUUUUUUAAAGUACGAUUGAAAUCAGAACACAUUAUAACAAGACUAUGGAAUAAAAACUUAUAAAAAACAUUAUUCUUCUAAUUAUUUUCGUGUAUAAUAUAGAUUUCCGAUAAUUAUUCUAUAUAAUAAACGAGUCGUCACAACUACUUCAUUAUUUAAACUGUGCAUUGAAGGUCAAUAAGUCGAUUCCUUGGUACGUUCUUGAAUUUUAAUAAGUUGAAAUAGAUAAUGCACAAUGUAACUAAACGCUGAAUACUUAUACACGUGUUUUUGUUUCUGAUAGCAUACAUGUACAUGUAUCUUUCAAUGAGUAUUUAAUAAAACAUUAAACCACAUUAUUUACAAUUAAUAGUAAAUGUAUUCAGGGUAUCCAGCAUUCUGUAAAACAAACCAGACGAAUAAUUACUGUAUUGGUAUCAAUAAUGUAACGAAAACUUUUUCAAUAUAACGGAACGACUUGAAAUCUAUAUAAAAGAAAGCGUUUAUUUUUUUGUAGCCUUGUUGGAAUGAUUUGAAGCAGAAAACUAACAGUAGAGUCAAUCAAUACAGCGAUGUUUGGGGUUAAAUAUACAGACAUGCGGUUGUAAGUUAAUUACGAUACUUUCUUACGUUAAUUUCAUUUUCUAAACUGUUAAACAUAUCAUGCAUAUGGCAAUAUAUAGUUUUAUAGUAUUACAGAAAUCCAUUAUGAAAUUGCCACGGCAAUGUUACAAAAAAUAUAAAAUUCGCAUGAUUAAAAUCAUUUAAAUAAGCACGAUGUAUUAAGAGAUACUGAAGGAAGAAAGUUUCAAAUGAGAAUAAAAUCUUAUAGUUGGAGAAAUAACGACCAAGUCAUGGCCGAAGAUAUUAGAUAUGAAAAAAAAAUGACAAUGAUUAAUCACAGGAGUGAGCAACACAACCCUUUGCAGGCUUCUAUUAUUCAUUGUUCAUGUAAAGAACGACAUUUUUAAAUUCAGUGCAAUGCACCGCUGUAUUAUUUGUAUGGUUAUCCAUUUUUUUUCUUUUGUUUCAGUUAGUAAAAUGGUUUGUCUUACAACUCUAUUAUCGUUUAAAAAAAUCCAAUUGACCAAACAAUUAUGAAUUGGCGUAUCAUAGUAAUAUGUAGCUGUCCUAUAUAUAAUAAUGAAAUUAUGUUUGCUUGCAGUUACUACACAUUUUUUAUUUUAAAACAGAUCAAUGUCAUUGACUAUUUUCACGUCUUUACUUACUCCUGCAAGCAAACAUGAACAAUACCUCACUUUAUAAAGUUAAAUAACAAAACUCCAAUUCCAGUAUAUUGGUCACCAACGUGUGAAUACAGUAAGCAGAUAUAAUAGGUACAAAUGUUACACAUUUGGGUACAGCAGUCAACAGUGUGUUACUUAAAUGAAUCAAUAGUCUAAAAAGACUAUGGGUAUUGUACAAAUGCGAAUGAUAAUGACGUUACAGUAGGAGUUUUAAAAUGUUGUAUAUAUUUCAUAACGAUACUACUGGAAGGAAUUGCAUGUUUUCUCAUUGGAACUGGAAUGUAGAGAAACUAUAUGAACUGAUACACAUUAUUUCUUAUUGAUUCUGGUAAAAAAAAGAAGAAUAGGUAUGAUUGCCAAUGAGACAACUCUCAACAAGAAACAAAAUGACAUAAAUUUUAACAAAUAUAAGCCACCAUACGGCCUUUAACAAUGCAUUCAAUAGUACAUUAAAUUAUUGGCUAAAUCCUCAUUCCGCUUUACAACUGUUCAAAUAUUCUUGUACUUAUAAAUGCUUUUCUAGUAAGCCAUUUUCUAUACAAUAUAAAGACAUGUUAACAUGUUAAUUUUGCUUUUAGUUUAGUUGACCACAGAUUGAAAAUGAAAACAACGAAACUGAAAAGUCAGUCAAAGAAUUGGAAUAACUAGAUGGGUUAAAACGCCUACUGAGCUUCUUACAAACAUGAAAUGCCCAGGCGCAGGGUCAAAACAUCGUAAACUUCGUUUUGUGUUU